rnacentral:rRNA from 1 species
UAUGUGAUCGUCUCUCGCAUAUCAAUAAGCGGAGGAAAAGAAACUAACAAGGGAUUCCCCUAGUAACGGCGAGUGAAGCGGGAAGAGCUCAAAUUUGAAAUCUUAAAGGGUUUCCCUUUACGAAUUGUAGUUUAAAGAAGUGUUUUCUGUUGAGGUUUUGGUAAAAGUUCUUUGGAAUAGGACAUCAUAGAGGGUGAGAAUCCCGUAUUUGACCUUUACUUUCAACUUUGUGAUACACUUUCAAAGAGUCGGAUUGUUUGGGAAUGCAGUCCAAAAUGGGUGGUAAAUUUCAUCUAAAGCUAAAUAUUGGCGAGAGACCGAUAGCGAACAAGUACCGUGAGGGAAAGAUGAAAAGAACUUUGAAAAGAGAGUUAAACAGUACGUGAAAUUGUCAAAAGGGAAGCGUUUGACACCAGUGUUGUUUUUCUGAAAAUCAAUUAAAGAACUGUUUAUGCUAAGUUGUUUAGACUUUAUCAGCUAACUGUUUAGUUUUGAGCUUUUCUUUAAUGCACUUUUCAGUUAACAAGUCAACAUCAAUUUCUUUUGCUGUAAAAAAGCUUGAGGAAGGUGGCUUGAGAUUCGUCUUAAGUGUUUAUAGCCUCUUGCCUAUGCAGUCGGAGAGAUUGAGGUCUGCAGCGUAGAUCCUUCGGGGCUAAAUGCAUUUGUGCUAAGUUAUAACAUUUUAUAGACAACUUGUUGACUAUGAUUUGUCUUGUAGCUUACUCGCUUAUGUUAUUUUACCUACGCUUAGGAUGUUGAAGACUCUACAGAGAUA